rnacentral:rRNA from 1 species
UACGGAGGAUCCAAGCGUUAUCCGGAUUUAUUGGGUUUAAAGGGUGCGCAGGCGGAAGAUUAAGUCGGCGGUGAAAUUUUGCAGCUAAACUGUAAAAGUAGCCAUCGAUACUGGUUUUCUUUGAGUGUGGAUGAAGUAGGCGGAAUUUGUGGUGUAGCGGUGAAAUGCAUAGAUAUCACGAGGAACUCCGAUUGCGCAGGCAGCUUACUAAACUACUACUGACGCUCAUGCACGAAGGCGUGGGGAUCAAACAGGAUUAGAUA